AUUGAACGCUGGCGGCAUGCCUUACACAUGCAAGUCGAACGGUAACAGGCCGCAAGGUGCUGACGAGUGGCGAACGGGUGAGUAAUGCAUCGGAACGUGCCCAGUCGUGGGGGAUAACUGCUCGAAAGAGCAGCUAAUACCGCAUACGACCUGAGGGUGAAAGCGGGGGACCGUAAGGCCUCGCGCGAUUGGAGCGGCCGAUGUCAGAUUAGCUAGUUGGUGGGGUAAAGGCCCACCAAGGCAACGAUCUGUAGUUGGUCUGAGAGGACGACCAGCCACACUGGGACUGAGACACGGCCCAGACUCCUACGGGAGGCAGCAGUGGGGAAUUUUGGACAAUGGGCGCAAGCCUGAUCCAGCAAUGCCGCGUGCAGGAAGAAGGCCUUCGGGUUGUAAACUGCUUUUGUCAGGGAAGAAAUCCUCUGGGUUAAUACCUCGGGGGGAUGACGGUACCUGAAGAAUAAGCACCGGCUAACUACGUGCCAGCAGCCGCCGCUGUAA
rnacentral:rRNA from 1 species